rnacentral:rRNA from 1 species
GCAGUAGAACGCUGAAGACUUUAGCUUGCUAAAGUUGGAAGAGUUGCGAACGGGUGAGUAACGCGUAGGUAACCUGCCUACUAGCGGGGGAUAACUAUUGGAAACGAUAGCUAAUACCGCAUAACAGCAUUUAACCCAUGUUAGAUGCUUGAAAGGAGCAAUUGCUUCACUAGUAGAUGGACCUGCGUUGUAUUAGCUAGUUGGUGAGGUAACGGCUCACCAAGGCGACGAUACAUAGCCGACCUGAGAGGGUGAUCGGCCACACUGGGACUGAGACACGGCCCAGACUCCUACGGGAGGCAGCAGUAGGGAAUCUUCGGCAAUGGGGGCAACCCUGACCGAGCAACGCCGCGUGAGUGAAGAAGGUUUUCGGAUCGUAAAGCUCUGUUGUAAGAGAAGAACGUGUGUGAGAGUGGAAAGUUCACACAGUGACGGUAACUUACCAGAAAGGGACGGCUAACUACGUGCCAGCAGCCGCGGUAAUACGUAGGUCCCGAGCGUUGUCCGGAUUUAUUGGGCGUAAAGCGAGCGCAGGCGGUUUAAUAAGUCUGAAGUUAAAGGCAGUGGCUUAACCAUUGUUCGCUUUGGAAACUGUUAGACUUGAGUGCAGAAGGGGAGAGUGGAAUUCCAUGUGUAGCGGUGAAAUGCGUAGAUAUAUGGAGGAACACCGGUGGCGAAAGCGGCUCUCUGGUCUG